AAAUGUACGCUAAUAUAUUUACACGCUUUUACUAAGCCCCAAAAUAUCCAUAUUAAUAUACAGCCACAUUUAGACUUCCUAUAACUAAAGUAAAUUAUAAAUCCAUAGUUUUACUUUAAUAAACACAGCAACACAUGUCUUCACUUCCCCCUACCGAUUCCUUCAGUUGGUAUUUCCCAGACCUAUAAAGUGGUGGUCAUGGACGCUGGGAAGUCAUUUGCCAGAUCACCCUGGGGAGAGGAGACAUGUUCCAGAGAUCCCUGGGAGGAAGACACCUGUAACAGGAUCUAAAGAGUGGGAGUGCGUUGUUACAUUCAACCCCAUGUAUUAAUUUACACUUCCCUGGACCAGGUACCUGGAUCACAG